UACGAAGGGGGCUAGCGUUGCUCGGAAUUACUGGGCGUAAAGCGCACGUAGGCGGUCCUUUAAGUCGGGGGUGAAAUCCUGGAGCUCAACUCCAGAACUGCCUUCGAUACUGGAAGACUUGAGUCCGGGAGAGGUGAGUGGAACUGCGAGUGUAGAGGUGAAAUUCGUAGAUAUUCGCAAGAACACCAGUGGCGAAGGCGGCUCACUGGCCCGGUACUGACGCUGAGGUGCGAAAGCGUGGGGAGCAAACAGG
rnacentral:rRNA from 1 species